rnacentral:lncRNA from 1 species
CCGCCUGGCCUUCUCCAGUCCCCUGGCCCACGAUGGAGACCCUCAGGAUACUUGUGGAAACUGGGCAGACAUGGUGGGCUGCCGGGCCCUGGGCUGGAAUGGUGGGGGGGGGGGGCUUUCUAACGAGCUGCCUCUUAGCAGGGUGGGAGAGAAUUCUGGGUGGCCUGUGACAGCAUAAUAACCCCACAUCACUCAGCGACAGGACCGAGGCCUUCAGCUCCUGCUGGGGCGAUGGGCAGGGCCCCACCCCCUUCCUCCCAGGGCACCGGAGCCAGUGGCUGCGCGGGUGGGUCAGCCUGGAAGACCCGGGGCGGGAGAGAGGAGCCGGCCCAGGACGUGUCCCCAGCGGCUGGACGAGAGGCUGUGUGCUCGGGCCCCGACGCCAACUCGGAAACACUGCAGAGGAGCAGCAGCUCAAGACGCCUGAGCCCCAGGAGUCCCGGGCCUGCUUCCCGGGCCCUGCACUCCCAGGGCUGCCCCCCAGCCUGGCCCACCUGCAGUGGGCGUCCUGUCACCUCGACGACCCCGGCCGGCGGAGUGGUGGAGAGGGUGUGGACUCUGCAGCCGGCUGGCUCUGAGCUGGGCAUGGUCCCCCGGAGCAGAGCUCCUUCAAAUCCCCGCUCCGCCCCCAGCCAGCUGAGUAACCUCGGGCGACCAGAGACCCCACCCUGCCCCUGCCCCCCCGGGGAUUGUGAGCAGCUGGCUGCACAACCGAGGAGACUCCCAGAGACAGCUCAGCAGAACCCCCCGCAGCCCUGCCAACAGACCCCACCGACACUGCGGCCGUGUCCCCCGCCAGGCGCUCAGGCCCUCAUCACUCUCCCCCAGCAUCCCCCCAACUUUCUAGCCCUGAUCCCUAAAGGGCAGAGGGAGGGGCUCUCUGAGCAGAAAUAGGUCGUAAGCAGUUUCCCUCCUCAGGAAGCAGCUAUUUCAUAAAUACGAUGGCGGGGGUGGGGGGCGCCUGGGGGGCUCAGGGGGUUAAGUGUCCACCUCCUGUUUUCAGCUCAGGUCACGAUCUCACAGUUUGUGGGUUCGAGCCCCACAUCAGGCUCUGUGCUGACAGCGCUGAGCCUGCUUGGGAUCCUCUCUCUCCCUCUCUCUCUCUUCCCCUCCCCGCCUCUCAAAAUAAAUACACAAAUACAUACA